GGGGAUUUAGCUCAGUGGCAUAAGCACUUGCAUUGUAAGCAGGCGGUUGAAGGGUUCAAUCCCCG
rnacentral:tRNA from 1 species